GCAAUAGUGGCUUACGUGGGCGGUCGGCGCAUACCCCUUAAUUAGAAAGGGGGUGACGCCAAUGGAGACGUUUCAGGCUCUUCAAUUAAUGUUCCUAUUCGGAAUGUUUAUUCUAGCGCUACUAACGUUUAUCCAGAAAAUGAAAUAGAUCGCCCUCGGUAAGGAAACGAUCCAUUUCGUUUGAAAACCCUUAUAAGCCGACCGCUUAUUGUGCGGCUGUUGCUGGCCGUAGACGUUCACAGCGUCUGCG
rnacentral:sRNA from 1 species